UUUUAGUGGCGAACGGGUGAGUAACACGUAAGCAACCUGCCUUUAAGACGAGAAUAACAAUUGGAAACAGUUGCUAAGGCUGGAUAGGAAAUAAAAAGGCAUCUUUUUAUUUUUAAAAGACCUUUUUCGGAAGGUAUGCUUAAAGAGGGGCUUGCGUCACAUUAGUUAGUUGGUAGGGUAAAGGCCUACCAAGACGAUGAUGUGUAGCUGGACUGAGAGGUUGAACAGCCACAUUGGGACUGAGACACGGCCCAAACUCCUACGGGAGGCAGCAGUAGGGAAUUUUCGGCAAUGGAGGAAACUCUGACCGAGCAACGCCGCGUGAACGACGAAGUACUUCGGUAUGUAAAGUUCUUUUAUUGAAGAAGAAACAAUAGUGGAAAAACUAUCUUGACGUUAUUCAAUGAAUAAGCCCCGGCUAACUAUGUGCCAGCAGCCGCGGUAAUACAUAGGGGGCGAGCGUUAUCCGGAAUUAUUGGGCGUAAAGGGUGCGUAGGCGGUUUAAUAAGUCUCUAGUUUAAUUUCAACGCUUAACGUUGUCCUGCUAGAGAAACUGUUUAACUAGAGUGAGAUAGAGGUAAGCGGAAUUCCAUGUGUAGCGGUAAAAUGUGUAAAUAUAUGGAGGAACACCAGAGGCGUAGGCGGCUUACUGGGUCUUUACUGACGCUGAUGCACGAAAGCGUGGGGAGCAAACAGGAUUAGAUACCCUGGUAGUCCACGCCGUAAACUAUGAGUACUAAGUGUCGGGGUUAAACUCGGUACUGAAGUUAACACAUUAAGUACUCCGCCUGAGUAGUACGUACGCAAGUAUGAAACUUAAAGGAAUUGACGGGAUCCCGCACAAGCGGUGGAUCAUGUUGUUUAAUUCGAAGAUACACGAAAAACCUUACCAGGUCUUGACAUACUCUGCAAAGCUAUAGAAAUAUAGUGGAGGUUAUCAGGGAUACAGGUGGUGCAUGGUUGUCGUCAGCUCGUGUCGUGAGAUGUUAGGUUAAGUUCUAAAACGAGCGCAACCCCUGUCGUUAAUUGCCAGCACGUUAUGGUGGGGACUUUAGCGAGACUGCCAAUGAAAAAUUGGAGGAAGGUGGGGAUUACGUCAAAUCAUCAUGCCCCUUAUGAUCUGGGCUACAAACGUGAUACAAUGGCUAUUACAAAGAGUAGCUGAAACGCGAGUUUUCGGCAAAUCUCAAAAAAAUAGUCUCAGUUCGGAUUGAAGUCUGCAACUCGACUUCAUGAAGUUGGAAUCGCUAGUAAUCGCGAAUCAGCAUGUCGCGGUGAAUACGUUCUCGGGGUUUGUACACACCGCCCGUCAAA
rnacentral:rRNA from 1 species